rnacentral:rRNA from 1 species
AGAGCGAACGCUGGCGGCAGGCUUAACACAUGCAAGUCGAGCGCCCUCUUCGGAGGGAGCGGCGGACGGGUGAGUAACACGUGGGAACGUGCCCUUCGGUUCGGAAUAACUCAGGGAAACUUGAGCUAAACACCGGAUACGCCCUUCGGGGGAAAGGUUACGCCGAUGGAGCGGCCCGCGUUGGAUUAGCUAGUUGGUGAGGUAAAGGCUCACCAAGGCUACGAUCCAUAGCUGGUCUGAGAGGAUGAUCAGCCACACUGGGACUGAGACACGGCCCAGACUCCUACGGGAGGCAGCAGUGGGGAAUCUUGCGCAAUGGGCGAAAGCCUGACGCAGCCAUGCCGCGUGAGUGAUGAAGGCCUUAGGGUUGUAAAACUCUUUCAGCGGGGACGAUAAUGACGGUACCCGCAGAAGAAGCCCGGCUAACUUCGUGCCAGCAGCCGC